rnacentral:rRNA from 1 species
UACGAAGGGGGCUAGCGUUGUUCGGAAUCACUGGGCGUAAAGGGCGCGUAGGCGGCCGAUCAAGUCGGGGGUGAAAGCCUGUGGCUCAACCACAGAAUUGCCUUCGAUACUGUUUGGCUUGAGACCGGAAGAGGUUAGUGGAACUGCGAGUGUAGAGGUGAAAUUCGUAGAUAUUCGCAAGAACACCAGUGGCGAAGGCGGCUGACUGGUCCGGUUCUGACGCUGAGGAGCGAAAGCGUGGGGAGCGAACAGG